CCUACGGGAGGCUGCAGUGGGGAAUAUUGGACAAUGGGGGGAACCCUGAUCCAGCCAUGCCGCGUGUGUGAAGAAGGCCCUCGGGGUGUAAAGCACUUUCAGUGAGGAAGAACGCCUGGUGGUUAAUACCCAUCAGGAAAGACAUCACUCACAGAAGAAGCACCGGCUAACUCCGUGCCAGCAGCCGCGGUAAUACGGAGGGUGCGAGCGUUAAUCGGAAUUACUGGGCGUAAAGCGCGCGUAGGUGGCUUGAUAAGCCGGUUGUGAAAGCCCCGGGCUCAACCUGGGAACGGCAUCCGGAACUGUCAAGCUAGAGUGCAGGAGAGGAAGGUAGAAUUCCCGGUGUAGCGGUGAAAUGCGUAGAGAUCGGGAGGAAUACCAGUGGCGAAGGCGGCCUUCUGGACUGACACUGACACUGAGGUGCGAAAGCGUGGGUAGCAAACAGGAUUAGAUACCCCAGUAGUC
rnacentral:rRNA from 1 species